GGAUUAGAUACCCUGGUAGUCCACGCUGUAAACGAUGAUCACUCGAUGCUGGCGAUACACUGUCAGUGUCCAAGCGAAAGCGUUAAGUGAUCCACCUGGGGAGUACGGUCGCAAGAUUGAAACUCAAAGGAAUUGACGGGGGCCCGCACAAGCGGUGGAGCAUGUGGUUUAAUUCGAUGAUACGCGAGGAACCUUACCAAGGCUUAAAUGUAUAUUGACCGUCCCGGAAACGGGAUUUCUCUUCGGAGCAAUUUACAAGGUGCUGCAUGGUUGUCGUCAGCUCGUGCUG
rnacentral:rRNA from 1 species